UGUGGUACAGCUCAGUGGUAGAGCGUGUGCUUAGCAUGCACAGGGUACUGGGUUCAACCCCUAGUACCUCCA
rnacentral:tRNA from 1 species